rnacentral:rRNA from 1 species
CCAGACUCCUACGGGAGGCAGCAGUGGGGAAUAUUGCACAAUGGGGGAAACCCUGAUGCAGCGACGCCGCGUGAGUGAAGAAGUAUUUCGGUAUGUAAAGCUCUAUCAGCAGGGAAGAAAAUGACGGUACCUGACUAAGAAGCCCCGGCUAACUACGUGCCAGCAGCCGCGGUAAUACGUAGGGGGCAAGCGUUAUCCGGAUUUACUGGGUGUAAAGGGAGCGUAGACGGCAGCGCAAGUCUGAAGUGAAAUCCCAUGGCUUAACCAUGGAACUGCUUUGGAAACUGUGCAGCUGGAGUGCAGGAGAGGUAAGCGGAAUUCCUAGUGUAGCGGUGAAAUGCGUAGAUAUUACGCAGAACUCCGAUUGCGAAGGCAGCGCACCGGCGCCCUACUGACGCUCAGGCACGAAAGCGUGGGUAUCGAACAGGAUUAGAUACCCCAGUAAC